rnacentral:SRP_RNA from 1 species
GGGUAAGCUAUGCCGGGAGUGUAGCUCUCUCCUGUGACUGUCAGCGAGCUUUAGACAGGGCGAAUCGUCGCGGCGAGGACGUCCUGGUUGUCGUGGUCUCGUGCCGGACGCUGAGAGCCUGUCCUGGUUGGGUACCGCGGUGGGAACCGUGUCAGGCGGGGAACCGAGCAGCACUAACCGCAUCGGCUACUGCUUCCAGGGUAGCGGGCUUGAGAAAGGCGCGAGAGUGCCUGGCAACCAGGUGUUCACAACGCGAUGACGCUUACCC